rnacentral:lncRNA from 1 species
CACUCUUAUGGGUGCUGUUACUGUUGGCCCAAGAACACAUUUUGAGAAGACUGGCCUAGAGGAACCAAUAAUGUGGGUUUCUUAUGGGCAGGAUGGCACUGGAGAAGAGGGUGAGGCUCAGUGUCUUCUCCCAAAUUUUCAUAUCAAAUAAAACCUCUUUCCCCGGAGAGAAGUAACAAGAGAGGCAGAGGGAAAUGAUUCUAACAGAAGUUCUAGCCACAUGGAAGGAAGCAUUAGCAGUGAGGAAUAACUGUUCUCUCCCUAAACAUACCACCCAAGGUAAUG